CUCCCGGACGACAUCAUCCUCGAGAUACUCCUCCGCGUCUCCACCGACUCCGCUACCCUCUUCCGCUGCGCUGCCACGAGCAAGCGGUGGCGCGCCCUCAUCGCUGACCGCCCCUUCCUCCAAAGCUGCUGGACGGCGAACGCUAGACAUCCGUCGCUCCGCCUUGGCUUCUUGAUUCAGCAACAAUGCAACAAGGAGGACAUCAACUCGCCGUACCCGCCGCUCUUCGUCCCGCCACUGGGGUCGGUGCUCGGCGCUCGCCCCCGCCUCCUCACCCACAUCCUAUCUUGCGUGCCGGAUGGCCUCUUGGAUGGUGCGAAGCCACUUGCUGAGCGCCAUGGCCUACUCGUCGUGCGUCUCUUCCGUGGUGUCUUCGGCAACUCGGUCCGCAUUGCCGUGUGCGACCUACGAGUUGGCGCAUGCAACGUGCUCCCCCACCUUGCGUGCGAGGCUUCCUUCAUCACUUGCACUAUCGUAACCGGUGAAGACUGUCCCUCCUUGCAAGGGAAACGUGCAUCGUCUUCGGGAUGCUGCUCCGCCUUUUUCAAGGUGCUAGCCCUCGUCGUCAGUGGCCACAAGCGCGACGCCAACGAGGAGUGCAACCUGUACACCUUCUCCUCCGCAGAGCCUACCUGGGGUGUGCCCACAAAGUGUUUCGAGAAAAUGUCGGGGAUCUGCAGGGGCGGCUUCUCGCUGCUCCAAUGGAAAUAUGAUAACGCACUCGUGCGUCGUGGAGUGGCACACUGGCUCGCCUGGUGCUUAUCGGAAGUCGGAGCCUCACCAAAAUAUUACUCCUUAGACGUGAGCGCCGAGACCGGCCUUGUCUCCUUGACAGAGAUCUCAGUCCCUUUUUACCAACUUCCCGACAAUAGUAGCAUGCUGCCAAUGCUCAGCGUCGCCGCGGACCGGUCUCUCGCAAUGUUUUGCCCGCGCAAGGAAUUUGGCAUUUGGUACAUAGACAUGUGGACGCGGGGAAACGACACCGAUAGUGGAGUCUGGCUCCGCACUAAGUCGGUCAAACUAAAUGUUGAGAUUCGCCCUUAUGCACGCAUGUGGCGCGAAGAGAAGGGUGGUACGCUUCUCAUCGUAGACGAUUCGUGGGUCGUGCGAUGGGUUGAUAUCGAAAACCUAAGAAUGGAAGUGGAACAUUUCCCGGGUGGCAUAGGUCUGGAAGCCAUGCCCAUGCAUGUCGACUGGCCCGCUUUAUUU
rnacentral:rRNA from 1 species